rnacentral:rRNA from 1 species
AUUCCAGCUCCAAUAGCGUAUAUUAAAGUUGUUGCAGUUAAAACGCUCGUAGUCGGAUUUCGGGGCGGGCCGACCGGUCUGCCGAUGGGUAUGCACUGGCCGGCGCGUCCUUCCACCCGGAGACCGCGCCUACUCUUAACUGAGCGGGCGCGGGAGACGGGUCUUUUACUUUGAAAAAAUCAGAGUGUUUCAAGCAGGCAGUCGCUCUUGCAUGGAUUAGCAUGGGAUAAUGAAAUAGGACUCUGGUGCUAUUUUGUUGGUUUCGAACACCGGAGUAAUGAUUAAUAGGGACAGUUGGGGGCAUUAGUACUUAAUUGUCAGAGGUGAAAUUCUUGGAUUUAUGAAAGACUAACUACUGCGAAAGCAUUUGCCAAGGAUGUUUUCAUCA